rnacentral:rRNA from 1 species
GAUGGACGCUGGCGGCGUGCUUAACACAUGCAAGUCGAACGAGACAAAAGAAAAGUGCUUGCACGGAUCUUUUAGAAAGUGGCGAACGGGUGAGUAACGCGUGGGUAACCUGCCCUAUGGAAAGGAAUAGCCUCGGGAAACUGGGAGUAAUGCCUUAUAAUAUAAAGAAGUCGCAUGGCUUUUUUAUUAAACGCUCCGGUGCCAUAGGAUGGACCCGCGUCCCAUUAGCUAGUUGGUGAGAUAACAGCCCGCCAAGGCGACGAUGGGUAACCGGUCUGAGAGGGUGAACGGUCACACUGGAACUGAGACACGGUCCAGACUCCUACGGGAGGCAGCAUG